GGAGAGUUGGCCGAGUGGCCGAAGGCGCGCCCCUGCUAAGGGUGUAUGGGUUAACACUCAUCGAGGGUUCGAAUCCCUCACUCUCCGCCA
rnacentral:tRNA from 10 species